GGGUAGUCCUAGCCGUAAACGAUGUGGGCUAGGUGUCAGCCACACUGCGAGUGUGGCUGGUGCCGUAGGGAAGCCGUGAAGCCCACCACUUGGGAAGUACGGCCGCAAGGCUGAAACUUAAAGGAAUUGGCGGGGGAGCACCACAACGGGUGGAUGCUGCGGUUUAAUUGGAUACAACGCCGGAAAUCUCACCGGGGGAGACAGCGAGAUGAAGGUCAGGCUGAAGACCUUACCAGAUUAGCUGAGAGGAGGUGCAUGGCCGUCGUCAGUUCGUACUGUGAAGCAUCCUGUUAAGUCAGGCAACGAGCGAGACCCGCGCCCACAAUUGCCAGCAUGUCCUCCGGGACGAUGGGCACAUUGUGGGGACCGCCUCUGCUAAAGAGGAGGAGGGAGCGGGCAACGGUAGGUCAGUAUGCCCCGAAUCUCCCGGGCUACACGCGGCAUACAAUGGGACGGGGACAAUGGGGGUAUCGACCCGAGAGGGGGGAGGCAAUCCCAUAAACCCGUUCGUAGUUCGGAUUGA
rnacentral:rRNA from 1 species